rnacentral:rRNA from 1 species
UACGUAGGGUGCAAGCGUUGUCCGGAAUUAUUGGGCGUAAAGAGCUCGUAGGCGGUCUGUCGCGUCUGCUGUGAAAUCUCAGGGCUUAACCCUGAGCUUGCAGUGGGGUACGGGGCAGACUAGAGUGCGGUAGGGGGAGACUGGAAUUCCUGGUGUAGCGGUGAAAUGCGUAGAGAUCAGGAAGAACACCAGUGGCGAAGGCGCUCUGCUAGGCCGUAACUGACACUGAGGGGACGAAAAGCCUAGGGGGGAGCGAAAUGG